GCAUCAUCAGCACCAACGCGAGACUGAACAGCGGCAGGGGGUCGGAAAAGAAGACCAGAGAGAAAAUGACACACAGGAUGUUCGUUAAGGAUUCAGCCGAUGGCACGACGACAGUCACACCACGGAAAUGUUUAUCCAUUAUCAUUUACAGCGAAUGAAAAUAAUAAUAAUAAAAAUAUCUGGAAUGACGCUUGUUUGCUGGUAAUUGGUUACCUUUUCCUCCAAGAGGCAUCGUUUCAAUUCUCCCAGAGCGGAUUUAAGAAAACGAACAGUAUCGAGGAAAUGUGAAAAACGCAGAGGAGCAUAGCUGGAUUGUCUUUGCCGAGCGAUUCAUUCCUGUCGUUAAAUCGUCUCUAACCUUAUGAACAGUGUUCAGUAACGCUGCCGAGGCGGCAGGUAUGAAGCAGCGUAUGAUUUAUCAUCGCUCAACCCAAGCCAACCUCAACCGAUGGCGCCGCAGCAAAACACAAGACCGCCACCCCUGUAAAGACAGCGACACGCCGCCUCCGACGCUCCUGCUUCCCCUUCGUUUGUGACAUGACAGCACGGGGGAGAAAGGCUAGGAUCAAAGGCCGUAGACCUGCAGGCGGACGCCUGGACCGCAAGAGGAAGGGACUCCAGCCCGGGGAAUCCCGCAUUUCAGCUGCGGGAGAAAAGCAUCGGAGGCAGCGCCGUGAUCUGUCACGGACAUAUCGGGGGACACCUGAGAACAGGCAUCGCUGUGCCUUUUCUUACCCGCUAAUCAUCAUUUAAGUCUUUAAAAUUUUGUUUUAAAUCGCACCGGAUCACUUAUUUAUUUAUUUGUGACUAUUAUUAUUAUUUAUUCUUGUAUUUAUGAUGCUGCUUAUAUUUUCAUAGUUUGUUGAAAUGAUUUGUUGGUAAAUACUAUUGAGGAAUUAAGCUGUAUGAGACCUGAUCGCGAUUAAUGCGCCAAUCGGCCCCAUCUCAGGUGCUCUCCCCGUGGCUGCUUAUAGUGACUCUAGCCACCGCCAUGGGCUGCAUCCAGAGCAUCGCUUGUAAGUCCCGUAUUAAACGCGAAAACAUCGUGGUCUACGACGUCUCGGCAACCAUCGAUCAGUGCCCGACAGUGAUUGAGGAGAACUCGCCCAUUGUGCUGCGCUACAAAACACCAUAUUUCAAGGCUUCAGCCCGCGUGGUGAUGCCCCCUAUCCCUCGCGAUGAGACGUGGGUAGUAGGUUGGAUUCAGGCUUGCACGCAGAUGGAGUUUUACAACACCUACAGCGACAUCGGCAUGUCGAGCUGGGAGCUCCCAGAGCUGCGUGAGGGCCAGGCCAAAGCAAUCAGCGACUCGGAUGGCGUCAGCUAUCCCUGGUACGGCAACACCACUGAGACGGUGACGCUGGCGGGGCCCACCUCCAAGCCCUCCCGCUUCACCGUCAGCAUGAACGACAACUUCUACCCCAGCGUGACGUGGGCCGUGCCCGUCAGCGACAACAACGUGCCCCUGCUGACCCGCAUCAAGAGGGACCAGAGCUUCACCACUUGGCUGGUGGCCCUCCAUACUGGCACCAAGGAGAAGAUCAUUCUGCAGACGGUCAAGUGGCGCAUGCGGGUGGAUAUUGCUGUGGAUCCUACGAAGAGUCUUGGGUCCCGGGCAGCAUUGAUCGGCCGUCCGCAGCAGGACCAGCCACGAGUCCUGACCCGCAUGGAGCCCAUUCCACCCAAUGCCCUGGGUCGCCCUAACGCCAACGAUGCCCAGGUGCUGAUGUGGAGGCCCAAGAGGGGAACCCCCGUUGUGGUCAUCCCGUCCAAGUAGUGCGAUGGACAGCCUGGCUAAGAGACCCACAGCAUUACAGAGACUCACAGACAAGAGGUGGGGUGCCGCCUUAAAUGCCAACCAUUACCUUUGAGAAGGGGGACAGGAACAUCGGAGCAAAGGAAGUGGGAAGAGUAAGUCGGGAAGGUCGAAUCUGCCUUAAAUUCCAUGACACACUGUAUGUAGGACCACAUACGCACAGACAGUGUCCCUCGACUGAGCCACUGAUCGCUCCGUGCCGGAUUCAGCGCCACGUGACGACGUGUGUGACACAUCACUCCGUCAGGAGGCAGGGACUGGGCGCCGGGCUGUCCGAGCAAAGAGGACGCAGGGGACACCAGACACCAGGGGUCUCUGAAGCGAAUGAAGCUGUCGGAUUGUCACGUGAGGCAUCGUACCUAGGACACCACUUGCGAGAGCCCGCACUGCCAGCUGGGACGAGGCUCAACCGGGCAGUAAAGAACUCUCACACAUAACCCUCAUGCACCACAACACCACAAAUAUAUUUAUGACAUUUGUAUUUUUGAAUAUAUUUAUUGCCUAUCUUGUACGUAUUAUUUAUAUAUUACCUGUCUUGUCUUAUUUUGUGUUUCUGUUUGCUCCGCUCAGGGGGUUCCUGAUUCUCUCUUGUUUGCUCGAAUGUACAGAACUCAGCCUUGAAUCCUACGCCUACUUACCCACCCGCCCAUGCUCUCGGACCCGCACCAUUCCUCAUAGCUCUACGUCACCUGGCGGCUCACGUCCGAUUCCCUCGAAUCCAUAUAUCUGGCCUUAUUUCAGGUUCAUCCAAAUUCAGCAGAUUUUCGGUUUAACCCUUUAAGGUACUACCUUGCUCAUUUGCGACCCCUGCUGGCUGAGCGAUCCAUGCUCUGAGUGUUUGAAGCUCCCUGCUUAUGGAAAGAUCCCGUAGCCUUCGUGGGAGCAGACAUUAACCAGGUUAAAUAAGCCAAGUGAGCGACAGCAUCUUUGUGAUGGGAUGGUGGUUGCAGAUCCCAUCCUAUAUUGUGUUUACACGUUUGUGCUUCCUUGAUGAACGAUGAAUGAAUGUUCACGUUUAACGGACACAACCAUACAUUAUUUACUGGAGUGCAAGGGGGAGGAACCAAUUAUGAUUUUUCAUUUCCUAUACUACCAUCUUCAGGUGUAACAUAUCAUGUCCUUCACCGUCCCGUUAAUACCGUGUUACUUCACUGAACUGUAUAUGCACUUCAAUCUCAACAUAACCCCAUUAGUAUCUAAUACCUAAUUACUCAACAGCAAAAAGUGACUUAAGACGUAACUCAUGUUCAAGCACUGAGGAUGAAAAGAUGUUUUGACAGAAAAGGUUCUUUAUUGAUGUAUUUCAACGUAAUCACUUUCCUGCCUUAGGAAUUAAACUUUUGUUCCUUA